CGCAGCCAACAUUGUGAUAUCUAACAUAUCCAACAUGUAAAAAAAAGAAAAAAAAAGUUUCUUAUACCAUUUUAGUGUCUUACGAGCUCAAUCAGUAGAAGAUAUCAUUGCAUCCGACCUGUUUAUCAAACGUAUAUUAGUGUUAUAAUCAAUGACACAGUCAGGUUUGGAUACUCUUUCACGAGUUUGCGGAUCAACAAUCUGGCUUAGGAUCAUGAGAGGAUUGUGAACUAUGAGGAAGGAAGCUUCCCGUUUGUCUCCCCAUUGAACAGCAAGGAUAUUAUCUGCUUGCUUGUGUGUUACUUCAUCCCUGCGGACAAUACGAGCGACGUUUGGAAUGCUUUUUUGUCGUCUUUUUACGCAACCACAGGCUCCUGUCUUUUUGGAACACAGGUACUGAAAGAGGGCUGGAGAGUUAUACCAUUUAUCGACAAACAAUACAUGAGUUUUGUCAAGAUAAGGGUCUAUAAGAGUUAGCACUACACCGCCAGACAACCCAAAGUCUCGUUGAGCGUCACUUCUGUUUCAGCACCAGGUGUCCUGAACGGGGGAGGAGCAUCUCUAGGCCGACAUAUUAAAAGGAUGGGACCACAGCAGCUCUUUCUCGGAAGCCCUCAGAAGCCUCAGAACUUUCUCAGAGGCCAGAUGCCUCUCACCUGCAAAAAACUCCACUUCCCCCCCUUUUUGCUCCCCUGCUUCCUCUGGGGAUCCCACGUGCUCUUAUGCCAUCCAUAGUGCACAAACAUAUCAGCAGAUGGGGAGACAACAAGACCAAGGAUUUCCAGACAAAUACCAUGCUGAUUGUGAGAGAAAUAUUGGGAACCCAUGAAAACGACGCUUGCAUUUAAAUAACUGGUUUGUGCAAAUUUAUAUAUCUGGGGUCUGGGUCGUCUCCAAGCUGCGCAUUUCCAGUGGGCCUGCAAUCAACCACCUUCCAUUAGUUUCUGGACCUACACGUAAUUUAAAUGUAAAUAUAGCUCAUUUAAUCUAGAAUCCAGAUUUUAUGUAAAUUCAUCCUUUUCAGUAAUAUCGGCCUUCAGCUGAAGAUUCUUGUUUCUCAUAAACAUCAUCCUGUAAGGACAACGCUUUUUCCUAUAUUUUUAUUUUAUUUCAUUAUCAAGUCACAUUGUUCCUUUAACUAUUCUAUAGAGCAUUUUACGGCCUUUCCGCUGAUGUAUAACUUAUGUAAUUUCAUUAUUUGUAUAUCUUAUUAUCAUUGAAUAUAUGGUUCCGAGAAAACACAAAUCCUUCUGGCGCAGACUCAAUUUCUCUCUGUUCAGGUAGGAUACUACAUAUCUGUACGCAGCCUCCUUUAUAGCCUGUUUUUACCUGUAAUAAAUUAUCAGUACCCAGCUACCUGUCUUCCUCUCUGGUCCUCACAACUGGUGACCUCCUGGAGUCGGUGACACAGUGAUUUAGGCAUAGCCUUUAACGGACUAAGUAAGGCAGCUCACCUUCAGAGAACCUUUAACGGACUCAAUACGGCACCACAGUUUAGGUCUCUGAAAGCUCCAUUCCAUGGACGACACUGAUGCCAUUAACGGACCCAUCACGGUACGGCUUCCAAACGUGUUUAGGAGUUUUUUGAGGAUGGGUAGCUGGGUGCUGGUCAGCCAACAAAAUCAGGCGGCAGUCCAAAAAUAUCCAUCCGACGUCAUGGCCUCCUCAGUUCUUCCUCCGGUGCCAUUACCACACCUGCAAGUCCCCAGGAAACUUCCCAACACCGCCGCUGCACCCAGGGUCCUGUUUUACCCACCCAACAUUGCUGCCACACAUUGCUGCUCAGACCCCCCUGAUGUUGCUGCCAUGAUCCUCCUCAAACCCCACGACGCUGCCGUCGCUCCUGGGGCUCGCUUGGCCUGCCUGACGUCGCUGCCAUACCUGUGGGCCUCCUCACCCUUCCGACGCCAUCUCCUAUAGUUCUCCUUGGCCCACCGGCACCGCUGCCGCACCUGUGGGCCUCCUCUCCCUGCCGACACUGCUACCUGUGGGCUACCUCAACCUGCCGACCUGGCCCAUCUGUGGUUCUGUGCUACCUGCUGGAUGCCGUUGCCAUGCCUUGGGACUUCUUCAGCCCAACCUGUGCCACCUCCACCACACAUGGGGGUGCCCAUAGCCCGUCACACGCAGCCACCACACACAAUACAGUUUUCUCCGCAGUCUUGGUCGCCCUCAGUCAACAGUAGAACCCCCCAGGUAACCGCCAAGGGAGGCAUCCUGUCAGCCAGCAAUGCCGAAGGACUCUACGUUCAAUAACGCUCUACAACAAGUGUCACAAAAACGCAGGGUCCCCUCCAGCCUCUAAGAUAUUUUUCAUCCAAUCAUUAUUCCAUAAUCGUUUUCUUGGUGGGGGAGUAUUUGUAAGGACAACACUUUUUUAUAUAUUUUUAUUGUAUUUCUUUAUCAAACCAUGUUGUUCCUUUAGCCAUUCCAUAGAGCGUUCCACGGCCUUUCCACUGAUGUAGAAAGUAUGUAAUUUCAUUAUUUCAUUAUUUGUAUAUCUUAUUAUCUUUAAAUGCAUGUCUCCGAGAAAACACAAAUCCUUCCGGCUCA